rnacentral:rRNA from 1 species
UGGGGAAUAUUGGACAAUGGGCGCAAGCCUGCUCCAGCCAUGCCGCGUGAGUGAUGAAGGCCCUAGGGUUGUAAAGCUCUUUCACCGGUGAAGAUAAUGACGGUAACCGGAGAAGAAGCCCCGGCUAACUUCGUGCCAGCAGCCGUGGUAAUACGAAGGGGGCUAGCGUUGUUCGGAUUUACUGGGCGUAAAGCGCACGUAGGCGGAUUGGUCAGUUAGGGGUGAAAUCCCAGGGCUUAACCCUGGAACUGCCUUUAAUACUGCCAGUCUUGAGUGGGGAAGAGGUGAGUGGAAUUGCGAGUGUAGAGGUGAAAUUCGUAGAUAUUCGCAGGAACACCAGUGGCGAAGGCGGCUCACUGGUCCAUUACUGACGCUGAGGUGCGAAAGCGUGGGGAGCAAACAGG